rnacentral:rRNA from 1 species
AGAGACCUCAAGUGUUAUCCGGAUUUAUUGGGCGUAAAGCGUCCGCAGAUGGUUUGAAAAGUCAGGGGUCAAAACCCAGUGCUCAACAUUGGGGUUGCCUUUGAAACUUUCAAACUAGAGGACAGAAGAGGCAAGCGGAAUUGCAGGUGUAGUCGUAACAAGCGUUGAUAUCUGCAAGAACACCAAAGGCGAAGGCAGCUUGCUGGUAUGUUCCUGACAUUCAUGGACGAAAGCGUGGGGAGCGAACAGGAUUAGAUACCCUGGUAGUCCACGCCCUAAACGAUGCGUACUAGGUAUUGGCAGUAUCGACCCUGUCAGUGCCGCUUAAAAAAGCUAACGCGUUAAGUACGCCGCCUGGGGAGUACGGCCGCAGGGCUA